UCUCUCUCUCGCUCUUUGGAAGAGAGAAUACUGACGGUCACACAAAUUGGGUCUAAGCAAUCCAUGGAAACAGAAGAUAGAACAUAGAAAUCAGAAUAGUUUGGAACAAUGUGUGCCUGUUAGAGUCAUCCGUGGGCAUGAAUCUACAAGUAGUUACUGUGGAAAAGUGUACACAUAUGAUGGUUUAUACAAGGUGGAUGACUGCAAACUAUCUUUUAAGUCUAUUACAUUCUACUUUUGAGUUUUGAUGCAUUAAAUGUUUCAGCAAACAAUGCUGAAAUGUCUAUGCUCCCUGCCAUAUGAACUCUGUCUUAGGUUAAAUAAUAGAGAGAGUUUGUGUGUUC